CCGUCGAUCCCAGCGUACAUGUAGCCGUAGAGUGAGCCCAGCUUGCUGGGUGGAUUAGUGGCGAACGGGUGAGUAACACGUGAGCAACCUGCCCCUGACUCUGGGAUAAGCGCUGGAAACGGUGUCUAAUACUGGAUAUGUCCCGUCACCGCAUGGUGUGCGGGUGGAAAGAUUUUUCGGUUGGGGAUGGGCUCGCGGCCUAUCAGCUUGUUGGUGAGGUAAUGGCUCACCAAGGCGUCGACGGGUAGCCGGCCUGAGAGGGUGACCGGCCACACUGGGACUGAGACACGGCCCAGACUCCUACGGGAGGCAGCAGUGGGGAAUAUUGCACAAUGGGCGGAAGCCUGAUGCAGCAACGCCGCGUGAGGGAUGACGGCCUUCGGGUUGUAAACCUCUUUUAGCAGGGAAGAAGCGAGAGUGACGGUACCUGCAGAAAAAGCACCGGCUAACUACGUGCCAGCAGCCGCGGUAAUACGUAGGGUGCAAGCGUUAUCCGGAAUUAUUGGGCGUAAAGAGCUCGUAGGCGGUCUGUCGCGUCUGCUGUGAAAUUCCGAGGCUCAACCUCGGGCUUGCAGUGGGUACGGGCAGACUAGAGUGCGGUAGGGGAGAUUGGAAUUCCUGGUGUAGCGGUGGAAUGCGCAGAUAUCAGGAGGAACACCGAUGGCGAAGGCAGAUCUCUGGGCCGUAACUGACGCUGAGGAGCGAAAGGGUGGGGAGCAAACAGGCUUAGAUACCCUGGUAGUCCACCCCGUAAACGUUGGGAACUAGU
rnacentral:rRNA from 1 species